rnacentral:rRNA from 1 species
CCGUACGAUCACUGAAGUUAAGCAACGUCGAACCAGUUCAGUACCUAGAUGGGUGACGCCUUGGGAAUAUCGGGUGCUGUAA